rnacentral:rRNA from 1 species
GACGAACGCUGGCGGCGUGCUUAACACAUGCAAGUCGAGCGGUAAGGCUCCUUCGGGAGUACACGAGCGGCGAACGGGUGAGUAACACGUGAGCAAUCUGCCCUUCUCAUCGGAAUAACCAUUGGAAACGAUGGCUAAUGCCGAAUAUGACCUCGGAUCACAUGUUCUGAGGUGGAAAGCUCCGGCGGAGAAAGAUGAGCUCGCGGCCUAUCAGCUGUUGGUGAGGUAAUAGCUCACCAAGGCGAUGACGGGUAGCCGGCCUGAGAGGGUGACCGGCCACGCUGGGACUGAGACACGGCCCAGACUCCUACGGGAGGCAGCAGUGGGGAAUAUUGGACAAUGGGCGAAAGCCUGAUCCAGCAACGCCGCGUGAGGGA